rnacentral:rRNA from 1 species
CCUACGGGAGGCAGCAGUGGGGAAUCUUGCGCAAUGGGCGAAAGCCUGACGCAGCAACGCCGCGUGGGGGAUGAAGGCUCUCGGGUUGUAAACCCCUUUCAGCAGGGACGAAUCAAGACGGUACCUGCAGAAGAAGCCCCGGCUAACUACGUGCCAGCAGCCGCGGUAACACGUAGGGGGCGAAGCGUUGUCCGGAUUUAUUGGGCGUAAAGAGCUCGUAGGUGGCUGAGUAAGUCGGAUGUUAAAUCCCCAGGCUCAACCUGGGACACCACCCGAUACUGCUCUGGCUAGAGUCCGGUAGGGGAGCGUGGAAUUCCUGGUGUAGCGGUGAAAUGCGCAGAUAUCAGGAGGAACACCAGCGGCGAAGGCGGCGCUCUGGGCCGGUACUGACACUGAGGAGCGAAAGCGUGGGUAGCAAACAGGAUUAGAUACCCUGGUAGUCCACGCCGUAAACGUUGGGCACUAGGUGUGGGGUCUAUACUACGACGUCGUCGCGUACGCUACGACAUAGUAGUCCGCCGUCGGUAGGUACGGCCGCGACGACGAACUACAACGAAGUAGACGCGNGNGACGNGCGACGACGACGACGACGGAGGUAGG